CCCAUCAUCACCCACACAAAAGCAAAUCAGAAGAAGGUGGUUGUGAUGGGCGAGUUCCUUCUGCUUUUGCUAGCCUGAGCAGAAAACCUCCUGCAUCUCUUCUAAGAAAGAAGUUGAUUUUCCUAGACACUCCAGUCUUGAGAGUUUAACCAUGAAGGCCACUUGGCUUCUUGGCGCCAUUCUCUUGAUGACCCUGGUCAUGGCUAAUGACCAAGGUAAAUCUUCACCUGAAGAUAAAGGUAAAUCUUCACCUGAAGAUAAAGGUAAAUCUUCACCUGAAGAUAAACCAGCUGAAUCGGAGUCAAAAGCAAAUGCUACUAUAAAUUCUGCUCACAUAAUGGUGUCUGAGGGUCCAGUUUUCUUUUUGCUGCCACUUAUGUGGAUGGUGGUCCAUCUUCUUCACAUGUAAUGAACCCGAAGCUUCACUUUUCGGGGGAACAUAAAGGUCCAUCAGUCCUACCCAAGUUUAAGGAAGGGAGUUCCUUUCCAUCGCUAACCGCUUAAUAAUCCAGCUGGCAUCCUGCUCUUGCUGCAAUAUAGUCCAUCAUGUUGGACUAUCCGUGAUUUCAUUGCAUUAGCCAAUUAAACAGGAAAAUGAAAAGAAAGCCAGGAAAAUGUCUGAUGUCAGUCCUAAAGUGCAUGCGUCUGUAUGCAGUGUUAUAUAUGACUGUCAUUGUUCAGAGGAAAUCUGCGGAAGAAGAGUUAUGAAAUAUCUCAGAUGCAUCUUCUGUGGCCUGAGAGAUAAUCCAGAUCAUACUUUCCUACAAAAGACACAAGAUUCUUUUGCAGAGGCUGUCUAGGAAUGGACAUAAGCCACAUACGCAGAUAUGGUAAUCAUGCCUCACCCAUUAUGGUGUCCCAUCCUACUGAUACUCUUUUUAUAUUUGGUCUCCCAAGCAACUAUGAUGUUACCUCUGGAGAAAUGUUUACAUCUUUUUCCGUGAAUCUGCCUUGUGAGAAUCCUUCUCUUGUCUCAAAGAAAGAAGGAACGCCUCUAUCCAGGAGGCUUCAUCUUGAGCUUCAGCAUUUCAAGACCAGAAUACCAGUAUUUGUACAGUAAAGCAACAUCUAGCGUGGUGGAUCCACCAGAUCAUCCUUUUUUUAACAGGACAGGAGAGGACAAUUGUUCAUCAGACUGGAAGUAACCAAACUGACAGAAUGUCAUUGAUUGUAAUUGCAUCUACGUUUAUGUGAAAUGUAAUCAAAAUUUUUGCAUUUGCUCCUUUGCAGAAAACAGCCCAACGUGAAAAUACUGACACAAGAUAGGAAUUUGGUUUAUAAAUUGCUUGCUGUUACCUUCUGUAAUAUAUGUGCAGGUUGAUUCAAAUAAAAGCUUCUUGCUAGCUGGC